GAUGAACGCUGGCGGCGUGCCUAAUACAUGCAAGUCGAGCGAAUGGAUUAAGAGCUUGCUCUUAUGAAGUUAGCGGCGGACGGGUGAGUAACACGUGGGUAACCUGCCCAUAAGACUGGGAUAACUCCGGGAAACCGGGGCUAAUACCGGAUAACAUUUUGAACCGCAUGGUUCGAAAUUGAAAGGCGGCUUCGGCUGUCACUUAUGGAUGGACCCGCGUCGCAUUAGCUAGUUGGUGAGGUAACGGCUCACCAAGGCAACGAUGCGUAGCCGGCCUGAGAGGGUGAUCGGCAACACUGGGACUGAGACACGGCCCAGACUCCUACGGGAGGCAGCAGUAGGGAAUCUUCCGCAAUGGACGAAAGUCUGACGGAGCAACGCCGCGUGAGUGAUGAAGGCUUUCGGGUCGUAAAACUCUGUUGUUAGGGAAGAACAAGUGCUAGUUGAAUAAGCUGACACCUUGACGGUACCUAACCAGAAAGCCACGGCUAACUACGUGCCAGCCGCCGCAGUAA
rnacentral:rRNA from 1 species